UACGUAGGUGGCAAGCGUUGUCCGGAUUUACUGGGCGUAAAGAGCGCGCAGGCGGCCGAGUAAGUCGAAUGUGAAAGCCCCCGGCUCAACUGGGGAAGGUCAUUCGAUACUGUUCGGCUCGAAGAUAGGAGAGGGAAGCGGAAUUCCCGGUGUAGUGGUGAAAUGCGUAGAUAUCUGGAGGAAUACCGGUGGCGAAGGCGGCAUCCUGGACCAUUACUGACGCUGAGGCGCGAAAGCUAGGGGAGCAAACGGG
rnacentral:rRNA from 1 species